AGCCGGAAUCGCUAGUAAUCGCGGAUCAGAGUGCCGCGGUGAAUACGUUCCCGGGUCUUGUACACACCGCCCGUCACACCAUGGGAGUCGGAAAUGCCCGAAGUCUGUGACCCAACCUGAGAGGGAGGGAGCAGCCGAAGGCAGGUCUGAUGACUGGGGUGAAGUCGUAACAAGGUAUC
rnacentral:rRNA from 1 species